GGCUCGAUGGUCUAGAGGUAUGAUUCUCGCUUUGGGUGCGAGAGGUCCCGGGUUCGAUCCCCGGUCGAGCCC
rnacentral:tRNA from 1 species